rnacentral:rRNA from 1 species
UACAGGGGGGGCAAGCGUUGUUCGGAAUUACUGGGCGUAAAGGGCUCGUAGGUGGCCAACUAAGUCAGACGUGAAAUCCCUCAGCUUAACUGGGGAACUGCGUCUGAUACUGGAUGGCUUGAGUUUGGGAGAGGGAUGCGGAAUUCCAGGUGUAGCGGUGAAAUGCGUAGAUAUCUGGAGGAACACCGGUGGCGAAGGCGGCAUCCUGGACCGGCAUUGACGCUGAGGAGCGAAAGCCAGGGGAGCAAACGGG